UACAGAGGUCCCAAGCGUUGUUCGGAUUCACUGGGCGUAAAGGGUGCGUAGGCGGUCGGGUAAGUCUGACGUGAAAUCUCCAAGCCUAACUUGGAACUGCGUUGAUACUAUCCGGCUUGAGGAAUGGAGGGGAGACUGGAAUACUUGGUGUAGCAGUGAAAUGCGUAGAUAUCAAGUGGAACACCAGUGGCGAAGGCGAGUCUCUGGACAUUUCCUGACGCUGAGGCACGAAAGCCAGGGGAGC
rnacentral:rRNA from 1 species